rnacentral:rRNA from 1 species
UACGAAGGGGGCUAGCGUUGCUCGGAAUGACUGGGCGUAAAGGGCGCGUAGGCGGCUCAUACAGUCAGAUGUGAAAUUCCUGGGCUUAACCUGGGGGCUGCAUUUGAUACGUGUGGGCUUGAGUGGGGAAGAGGGUCGUGGGAAUUCCCAGUGUAGAGGUGAAAUUCGUAGAUAUUGGGGAAGAACACCGGUGGCGAAGGCGGCGACCUGGUCCUUGACUGACGCUGAGGCGCGAAAGCGUGGGGAGCAAACAGG